GGGGGGCUAUAAUGCAGUCGAGCGGAUCGAUGGGAGCUUGCUCCCUGAGAUCAGCGGCGGACGGGUGAGUAACACGUGGGUAACCUGCCUGUAAGACUGGGAUAACUCCGGGAAACCGGGGCUAAUACCGGAUAACACCUACCCCCGCAUGGGGGAAGGUUGAAAGGUGGCUUCGGCUAUCACUUACAGAUGGACCCGCGGCGCAUUAGCUAGUUGGUGAGGUAACGGCUCACCAAGGCGACGAUGCGUAGCCGACCUGAGAGGGUGAUCGGCCACACUGGGACUGAGACACGGCCCAGACUCCUACGGGAGGCAGCAGUAGGGAAUCUUCCGCAAUGGACGAAAGUCUGACGGAGCAACGCCGCGUGAGUGAAGAAGGUUUUCGGAUCGUAAAACUCUGUUGUUAGGGAAGAACAAGUGCCGUUCGAAUAGGGCGGCACCUUGACGGUACCUAACCAGAAAGCCACGGCUAACUACGUGCCAGCAGCCGCGGUAAUACGUAGGUGGCAAGCGUUGUCCGGAAUUAUUGGGCGUAAAGCGCGCGCAGGUGGUUUCUUAAGUCUGAUGUGAAAGCCCACGGCUCAACCGUGGAGGGUCAUUGGAAACUGGGGAACUUGAGUGCAGAAGAGGAAAGUGGAAUUCCAAGUGUAGCGGUGAAAUGCGUAGAUAUUUGGAGGAACACCAGUGGCGAAGGCGACUUUCUGGUCUGUAACUGACACUGAGGCGCGAAAGCGUGGGGAGCAAACAGGAUUAGAUAC
rnacentral:rRNA from 2 species